rnacentral:tRNA from 1 species
GCGCGGGUGGCGGAACUGGCAGACGCGGCAGCUUGAGGGGCUGUUGGGUUUUCCCAUGCAGGUUCAAAUCCUGUCCCGCGCA